rfam:Schistosoma rodhaini strain Burundi genome assembly, scaffold: SROB_scaffold0003895
GCAUUGCUGAAGAGUCACACAAUAGGACGAAACGGCCGUCCAGUGC